ACGGCGAGCGAACCGGAAAGAGCCCAGCUUGAAAAUCGUGGUGCCUCGCACCUCGAGUUGUAGUCUGGAGAAGGUCCCUCUGCGGCGCGCCGGACCCAAGUUCCCUGGAAAGGGACGUCAUCGAGGGUGACAACCCCGUCCGUGCCCGGAACGCGUCUCUCCACGAGGACCUGUCUGCGAGUCGGGCUGUUUGGGAAUGCAGCCCUAAUCGGGAGGUAAAUUCCUUCUAAGGCUAAAUAUGGGCAAGAGACCGAUAGCGAACAAGUACCGCGAGGGAAAGAUGAAAAGGACUUUGAAAAGAGAGUUAAAAAGUGCUUGAAAUUGCUGGGAGGGAAGCGAAUGGAAGCUGCGGGUGCGCCCCGGUUGGAUGUGGAACGGCUUCGGCUGGUCCGCCGCUCAACGCGGGGCGCUGGUCAGCGUGGGCCACGGCGCCGGGACAAGAGCGGGGAUUCGCUUCCCGCCUAUGCCGGUGCGGUGGCCGAGGAACGAAGCGCGCGCCUCUUGGCGUGGGUUCGCUCAACUGCGCGCUCGGGACGCUGGCGUAUUGAGCUCUUCAUCCGACCCGUCUUGAAACACGGACCAAGGAGUCUAACAUGUAUGCGAGCCGGUGGGCGGCAAACCCAUUGAGGCGCAAGUAAACUGACAGGUGGGACCCCGACCGCAAGGGAGGGAGCACCAUCGACCGACCGUGAUCUUCUGUGAAAGGUUUGAGUGUGAGCAUACCUGUUGGGACCCGAAAGAUGGUGAACUAUGCCUGAGCAGGGCGAAGCCAGAGGAAACUCUGGUGGAGGCUCGUAGCGAUACUGACGUGCAAAUCGUUCGUCAGACUUGGGUAUAGGGGCGAAAGACUAAUCGAACCAUCUAGUAGCUGGUUCCCUCCGAAGUUUCCCUCAGGAUAGCUGGAGCUCGUGUACAAGUUUUAUCAGGUAAAGCGAAUGAUUAGAGGCAUCGGGGGUGUAACACCCUCGACCUAUUCUCAAACUUUAAAUAGGUAAGCCGCCGGGGUUGCUUG
rnacentral:rRNA from 1 species